UCUAAAGCAAUGUUAAAUACCAUACCUGAAGAACUGAAGACAUUCUUUGGGAAUUCUAUUUACAUGGGCUGUCUAGGAUAUCAAAACAUUCAAAUGUAUUGGGCCUCAAGUACUGGAGUCGAAAUUGUGGCGGAAUCCAUGACCAGAAAUCGGUUUUACAAAUUGAGAAACUCCAUCAAGCUCGUCAACGACCUUGAUGUUUCAGAUGAAGAAAAAACAAGUGAUCUCUUGUGGAGAAUCAGGCCUCUCUUGAGCAAAGUAAGGCAAGGAUGUCUGAGUCUGACAAAAACAGGAAAAUUGUGCAUUGAUGAGCAAAUGGUUCCUUUUACUGGUCGAUGCCCAGUGCGCCAGUAUGUACCGGGCAAACCAAAACCAACUGGACUGAAGGUAUUUGUCUGGGCUGCACCAACUGGUCUAGUUUUGGAUUUUGUGGUCUACCAAGGCAAGACAACUUUCACAGCUACAGGAGGAAAAGGCAUCGGGGAACAAGCUGUUAUUCAAUUGCCAUAGUCUGUUCCUCAAGGCACCCACCUGUUCUUUGACAGAAUGAAGUUCCGUUUCCCCUGUAUUGGGUUCCGAUGUCCACUGUAGAAGACACAUCAAAGCUUAAAAACAAAAAUAAAAAUUUCAAAAAUUUCUUUUGCAGUA